rnacentral:rRNA from 1 species
UACGUAGGGUGCAAGCGUUGUCCGGAAUUAUUGGGCGUAAAGAGCUCGUAGGCGGUUUGUCGCGUCUGCUGUGAAAACUCGAGGCUCAACCUCGGGCUUGCAGUGGGUACGGGCAGACUAGAGUGCGGUAGGGGAGACUGGAAUUCCUGGUGUAGCGGUGGAAUGCGCAGAUAUCAGGAAGAACACCCGUGGCGGAAGGCGGCUCUCUGGGACGUGACUGGACGCUGAGACGCGAAAGCGUGGGGAGCGAACAGG